GCCAGGCAACCUUCCCCCUUCGCGGCCGAGAUGGACCCUGGGCUCGGCGUCCUCCGGAAAACUGCACUGUGAGGCGGGGCGAUGGGGAAGGGCCGAAGCCCCGCCAGCCCAGCUAAAGCAGACGGCUCGCACUGCGACCCGAAGCGGGCCCAGCACAGGGAUCACAUUGUCGGGGUGACCUGGAUCCUACUUGAAGCCUUUGAGCUGGACUGUGGCUUUAUCCCUGAGGCCAGGCUUCAUGUCCAGAUGGCCAUGCCAGAGGUUGACGUGGCAGAGAAGGAGUGUGACACAGGCCAGUGGAGCGAGUGGAGCCAGCCUGUGUGCUUCCAGGCUCCCCAGAGACAAGGACCCACCCGAGGAUGGGUCACCAUGGCUUUGGAGCACCUGGUAGUGUGGCAUGUCCACAGUGAAGACCAGAGUUUCGUUGUCCUUAAGACUGACCUGGGAGACGUGGCUGGAGGCCAUUGAGGAAGACGGCACCGAAAGCGAAGGAAGCUCCUGCUCCUCCUAAAGCCGAAGCCAAAGCGAAGGCUUUAAAGGCCAAGAAGGCAGUGUUGAAAGGUGUCCGCAGCCACACGCAAAAAAGAAGAUCCGCAUGUCACUCACCUUCAGGCGGCCCAAGACACUGCGACUCCGGAGGCAGCCCAGAUAUCCUCGGAAGAGCACCCCCAGGAGAAACAAGCUUGGCCACUAUGCUAUCAUCAAGUUUCCGCUGACCACUGAGUCGGCCGUGAAGAAGAUAGAAGAAAACAACACGCUUGUGUUCACUGUGGAUGUUAAAGCCAACAAGCACCAGAUCAGACAGGCUGUGAAGAAGCUCUAUGACAGUGAUGUGGCCAAGGUCACCACCCUGAUUUGUCCUGAUAAAGAGAAGAAGGCAUAUGUUCGACUUGCUCCUGAUUAUGAUGCUUUCGAUGUUGUAACAAAAUUGGGAUCACCUAAACUGAGUCCAGCUGGCUAACUCUAAAUAUAUGUGUAUCUUUUCAGCAUAAAAAAAUAAUGUUUUUCAUAAGAAUGACAACUUAAUUAGAAUCAAAUCUAUAAGCUUUAAGAUUUUACGUUUCUAGUAAGUAUAAUAUUAGCUUAUUUGACUAGAACUCAAGCAGAAUAGGAAUUUAUGCUUGUUUUAUAUUCAAUAAUGAUAAUUUUGAAGAUAUAGUUGUUUUAUUACACCAAAAAUACUAUAUUAAUCUUAUUUAACUAAGUUUUAUCCAAAUCAUGUUAACUUAAGAAACAUUUGAUCAGUUCCUAUAUUUCUAGGAGUUUGGUGAAUAUUUAUUUAUAAAUGCUUAUUUUUUUCCAAGCCAA
ensembl:lncRNA Novel transcript